rnacentral:rRNA from 1 species
GACGAACGCUGGCGGCGUGCUUAACACAUACAAGUCGAACGGAAAGGCCCUGCUUUUGUGGGGUGCUCGAGUGGCGAACGGGUAAGUAACACGUGAGUAACCUGCCCUUGACUUUGGGAUAACUUCAGGAAACUGGGGCUAAUACCGGAUAGGAGCUCCUGCUGCAUGGUGGGGGUUGGAAAGUUUCGGCGGUUGGGGAUGGACUCGCGGCUUAUCAGCUUGUUGGUGGGGUAGUGGCUUACCAAGGCUUUGACGGGUAGCCGGCCUGAGAGGGUGACCGGCCACAUUGGGACUGAGAUACGGCCCAGACUCCUACAGGAGGCAGCAGUGGGGAAUAUUGCACAAUGGGCGGAAGCCUGAUGCAGCAACGCCGCGUGCGGGAUGACGGCCUUCGGGUUGUAAACCGCUUUCGCCUGUGACGAAGCGUGAGUGACGGUAAUGGGUAAAGAAGCACCGGCUAACUACGUG